rnacentral:sRNA from 1 species
CGCAGCAGCAGCAUCAUCGGGUGCAUAUUAGAAAUUCAGACUCUCAUGCCCUAGCCCAGGCCCUCAGAUCAGGAUCUGCCUGUUGACAGGCUCUUCAGGUGAUAUGUGCGUGCUGACGCUUGAGAAACUAUUUGAAACCUAAGGCUGGGGGGAGGGGCAUGCAGCUUCCCUGCUGUGCUUCUGUGUAUAGCUUUGUGACACACCAUCCUGAACCACCCGUGGUGGUGAUUCGCUGCAGAGUCUGUGAUGUGGCCUCCAUGACAGGGAGGCAGGGAAAGCCUCCACAGGCUUUCUUUUGCAGGUCUGGCCCACAGUCACCGGUGGGGCUGUAUACUCCCGGCCAGUGGGGCCUGGGUCCAGCAAGGAUGUGGAACAGGCCAGCCUUUGCCGUCCUCCGAGAGGUCCCUCCAGCUGGGUGGCUGCACAUCUUGGGUCUCGGGGCUGUCUAGGCUCCAAGCACCCAGGUGUGGCCCAUUUGGGGCAUCCACCUCAGGGAUGGCCCCACACCACGUUUGUGGUCUCACACCGGGGUCAUGCUCGGUGGGCACAUCUGCACUUGUUACCUGGUGUGGGUGGUCUGCCUUGGAGCAGCCCUCUUGUACUGGGCGGUAACUCAGACCUGUUGAGACAGAAUAACGUGCCCCCCACCAAGCUCUUGCCGGGCGCCUGCACACAGUCAGCUUGGCUAAGGCAGUUGCAGGAGCGCUCCCUGGACUUCCACGCAGAACAGUCCCUCGGGAGCUCCGGGGCUUCUCGAGAAUUGCAUUUCCACCGCCUGCACCCUGUUCACACCGAAUAUGGAGUUUGACUUUGAUGUGGAUGGUAAAGCUGUACUUACCCAUGCUUUGUGAUUCUCUCCUACCUUUUUUUUCUUUAAACAUCUCAGGUAGCGGAAGUGAAAUUCAGUUUCUCUCCGAAGCCCAGGAUGACCCACAGAAAAGAAAACCAGACAUCAAAAAAGCGAAGCUGAUGCUGGGGUGGGAGCCCGUGGUCCCGCUGGAGGAAGGUUUAAACAAAGCAAUUCACUACUUCCGUAAAGAACUCGAGUACCAGGCAAAUAAUCAGUACAUCCCCAAACCAAAGCCUGCCAGAAUAAAGAAAGGACGGACUCGCCACAACUGAACUCCUCACUUUUAGGACACAAGACUACCAUUGUACACUUGAUGGGAUGUAUUUUUGGCUUUUUUUGUUGUUUAAAGAAAGACUUUAACAGGUGUCAUGAAGAACAAACUGGAAUUUCAUUCUGAAGCUUGCUUUAAUGAAAUGGAUGUGCCUAAAAGCUCCCCUCAAAAAACUGCAGAUUUUGCCUUGCACUUUUUGAAUCUCUCUUUUUAUGUAAAAUAGCGUAGAUGCAUCUCUGCGUAUUUUCAAGUUUUUUUAUCUUGCUGUGAGAGCAUAUGUUGUGACUGUCAUUGACAGUUUUAUUUACUGGUUUCUUUGUGAAGCUGAAAAGGAACAUUAAGCGGGACGAAAAAUGCCGAUUUUAUUUAUAAAAGUGGGUACUUAAUAAAUGAGUGGUUAUACUAUGCAUAAAGAAAAA